UUACGAUCAUAUCGAGUUGUAACACUAGUUCCCGUACGAUCACCGAAGUUAAGCAACAUCGAGACUGGUCACUACCUCGAUGGAUGACUACUUGAGAAUACCCGGAGCUGUU